GACGAACGCUGGCGGCGUGCUUAACACAUGCAAGUCGAACGAAGAGCGAUGGAAGCUUGCUUCUAUCAAUCUUAGUGGCGCACGGGUGAGUAACGCGUAAUCAACCUGCCCUUCAGAGGGGGACAACAGUUGGAAACGACUGCUAAUACCGCAUACGAUCUAAUCUCGGCAUCGAGGAUAGAUGAACGGUGGCCUCUACAUGUAAGCUAUCACUGAAGGAGGGGAUUGCGUCUGAUUAGCUAGUUGGAGGGGUAACGGCCCACCAAGGCGAUGAUCAGUAGCCGGUCUGAGAGGAUGAACGGCCACAUUGGGACUGAGACACGGCCCAGACUCCUACGGGAGGCAGCAGUGGGGAAUCUUCCGCAAUGGACGAAAGUCUGACGGAGCAACGCCGCGUGAGUGAUGACGGCCUUCGGGUUGUAAAGCUCUGUUAAUCGGGACGAAAGGCCUUCUUGCGAACAGUUAGAAGGAUUGACGGUACCGGAAUAGAAAGCCACGGCUAACUACGUG
rnacentral:rRNA from 1 species